AUCAUGGCUCAGAACGAACGCUGGCGGCAUGCCUAACACAUGCAAGUCGAACGAAGCCUUCGGGCUUAGUGGCGCACGGGUGCGUAACGCGUGGGAAUCUGCCCUUGGGUUCGGAAUAACAGUUAGAAAUGACUGCUAAUACCGAAUGAUGUCUUCGGACCAAAGAUUUAUCGCCCAAGGAUGAGCCCGCGUCGGAUUAGCUAGUUGGUGAGGUAAAGGCUCACCAAGGCGACGAUCCGUAGCUGGUCUGAGAGGAUGAUCAGCCACACUGGGACUGAGACACGGCCCAGACUCCUACGGGAGGCAGCAGUGGGGAAUAUUGGACAAUGGGCGAAAGCCUGAUCCAGCAAUGCCGCGUGAGUGAUGAAGGCCUUAGGGUUGUAAAGCUCUUUUACCCGGGAUGAUAAUGACAGUACCGGGAGAAUAAGCCCCGGCUAACUCCGUG
rnacentral:rRNA from 1 species